rnacentral:rRNA from 1 species
GACGGAGGAUGCAAGCGUUAUCCGGAAUUAUUGGGCGUAAAGCGUCCGCAGGUGGCUGUUCAAGUCUGCUGUCAAAGCGCAGAGCUUAACUCUGUACAGGCGGUGGAAACUGAAGAGCUAGAGUAUGGUAGGGGUAGAGGGAAUUCCCGGUGUAGCGGUGAAAUGCGUAGAGAUCGGGAGGAACACCAGAGGCGAAGGCGGCGACCUGGACAGGAACUGACACUCAACUACGAAAGCGUGGGGAGCAAACAGG